AAAGGCUCUAUUGAUCUUAUGGAACUUGAACUGAAGAAGAUGUAUGAACAUGUUCAAAGCAUCCAUGACGAGAUGUUUUAUCUACGUGAAAGGGAGGAAGAAAUGCAAGAACUUAACAGAUCAACCAACUCCAAAAUGGCCUGGAUGACUGGACUGUCAAUCUGUGUAUGCUUAUCUGUAGCAGGAUUGCAAUUGUGGCAUUUGAAAACCUUUUUCGAAAAGAAGAAGCUAAUCUAAUGUUAUUCUCAUAUUUUCACUACCCUCACGUUCGAGUAGAAUCUUUUAUAGACAACACAAUAGUUAGAAGGAAAGUUGUGUUACAUGUACUAUGUGGUAGAAAAUUGCAUGUGUUACUCUCAGAGCUCUGUUUGCCUUCUCUCUGAAUCUGAUUUUCCACAGAACAAGAAUUUGUUACAAAAGGCCUAAUAUGGG
rnacentral:misc_RNA from 1 species